AAGACUUACCUCCCAAACGAACAUGCAGGUUGAUGAAAUUAAAAGAGAUGAUGUCAUUUGCCUGUCAAGGAAUGCUGCUACUUUGGCUGGUUCUCUCACUCUACAUGUCUUUCAAGUUUAUAUCGAUCUUCCAACUCUCACAUAGAAGGAUAAGGAGGUAUGAAGAACCCUGAAUUGCACUUUCUAUGAAGUCUUGAAAGGCAUCACAUCUCGUAGGAUGCAGUCAUUGCGAGGAUUUAUCCUAUACGCAAGGCCCAACACGCAUACAAAAUAUUUUAACAAUAGUAAGGCCCAAUUUUAAAUCAAUAUCCAUGCAGCUGGAUACGUUGUCGGAUUAUCUGGUGGGUAAUCGGAUAAACACGCGGACCCUACAGCUAAAAUCGAAUCUUUAGUUUUUAAGUCAUUUUUGUCCUUAUUGAUUUCAAUAAAGUGUCUCCUUUUUUAAUAAUUGAGUGGCAAUUUGAGUAAUUAGAUUAGGGAUU